UACGUAGGGGGCAAGCGUUGUCCGGAUUUAUUGGGCGUAAAGAGCGUGUAGGCGGCUGGGUAGGUCCGCUGUGAAAACUUGAGGCUCAACCUCAAGCUGUCGGUGGAAACCCCUUGGCUAGAGUCCGGAAGAGGAGAGUGGAAUUCCUGGUGUAGCGGUGAAAUGCGCAGAUAUCAGGAAGAACACCAAUGGCGAAGGCAGCUCUCUGGGACGGUACUGACACUGAGACGCGAAAGCGUGGGGAGCGAACAGG
rnacentral:rRNA from 1 species